ACGCACGCUGGCGGCGUGCUUCACACAUGCAAGUCGCACGGAAAGGCCCUGCUUUUGUGGGGUUCUCGAGUGGCGAACGGGUGAGUAACACGUUAGUAACCUGCCCUUUACUUUGGGAUAACUUCAGGAAACUGGGGCUAAUACCGGAUAGGAGCUCCUGCUGCAUGGUGGGGGUUGGAAAGUUUCGGCGGUUGGGGAUGGACUCGCGGCUUAUCAGCUUUUUGGUGGGGUAGUGGCUUACCAAGGCUUUGACGGGUAGCCGGCCUGAGAGGGUGACCGGCCAAAUGGGGACUGAGAUACGGCCCAGACUCCUACGGGAGGCAGCAGUGGGGAAUAUUGCACAAUGGGCGGAAGCCUGAUGCAGCAACGCCGCGUGCGGGAUGACGGCCUUCGGGUUGUAAACCGCUUUCGCCUGUGACGAAGCGUGAGUGACGGUAAUGGGUAAAGAAGCACCGGCUAACUACGUG
rnacentral:rRNA from 1 species